GACGAACGCUGGCGGCGUGCUUAGCACAUGCAAGUCGAACGGAAAGGCCCUGCUUUUGUGGGGUGCUCGAGUGGCGAACGGGUGAGUAACACGUGAGUAACCUGCCCUUGACUUUGGGAUAACUUCAGGAAACUGGGGCUAAUACCGGAUAGGAGCUCCUGCUGCAUGGUGGGGGUUGGAAAGUUUCGGCGGUUGGGGAUGGACUCGCGGCUUAUCAGCUUGUUGGUGGGGUAGUGGCUUACCAAGGCUUUGACGGGUAGCCGGCCUGAGAGGGUGACCGGCCACAUUGGGACUGAGAUACGGCCCAGACUCCUACGGGAGGCAGCAGUGGGGAAUAUUGCACAAUGGGCGGAAGCCUGAUGCAGCAACGCCGCGUGCGGGAUGACGGCCUUCGGGUUGUAAACCGCUUUCGCCUGUGACGAGGCGUGAGUGACGGUAAUGGGUAAAGAAGCACCGGCUAACUACGUG
rnacentral:rRNA from 1 species